rnacentral:rRNA from 1 species
CCGGUGGACAAACCGGAGGAAGUGGGGAUGACGUCAAGUCCUCAUGGCCCUUAUAGGUGGGGCUACACACGUCAUACAAUGGAUGGUACAAAGGGUCGCCAACCCGCGAGGGGGAGCCAAUCCCAUAAAGCCAUUCGUAGUCCGGAUCGCAGUCUGCAACUCGACUGCGUGAAGUCGGAAUCGCUAGUAAUCGUGGAUCAGAAUGUCACGGUGAAUACGUUCCCGGGUCCUU